CAGCCGCCACGGGAAUACGGAGGGGGCUAGCGUUGUUCGGAAUUACUGGGCGUAAAGCGCACGUAGGCGGCUCGGUAAGUUAGAGGUGAAAGCCUGGAGCUCAACUCCAGAAUUGCCUUUAAGACUGCCGAGCUAGCAGGUGAGAGAGGUAAGUGGAAUUCCGAGUGUAGAGGUGAAAUUCGUAGAUAUUCGGAAGAACACCAGUGGCGAAGGCGGCCUACUGGCUCAUACUGGACGCUGAGGUGCGAAAGCGUGGGGAGCAAACAGGAUUAGAUACCCGAGUAGUCCCUGUCUCUUAUAC
rnacentral:rRNA from 1 species